rnacentral:rRNA from 1 species
UAGCCUACGGGAGGCAGCAGUGAGGAAUAUUGGUCAAUGGCCGGAAGGCUGAACCAGCCAAGCCGCGUGAAGGACGAAGGUGCCAAGCAUUGUAAACUUCUUUUGUCAAGGGACAAAAUCAGGCUCGAGAGCCUGACCGAGGGUACUUGAAGAAAAAGCAUCGGCUAACUCCGUGCCAGCAGCCGCGGUAAUACGGAGGAUGCGAGCGUUAUCCGGAUUCAUUGGGUUUAAAGGGUGCGCAGGCGGGCCUUUAAGCCGGCGGUGAAAUCGCGGGG